UGGGGAAUAUUGGGCAAUGGGCGCAAGCCUGACCCAGCAACGCCGCGUGAAGGAAGAAGGCCCUCGGGUUGUAAACUUCUUUUAUGAAGGACGAAAAAAAUGACGGUACUUCAUGAAUAAGCCACGGCUAACUACGUGCCAGCAGCCGCGGUAAUACGUAGGUGGCAAGCGUUAUCCGGAUUUAUUGGGUUUAAAGGGUGCGUAGGCUGUUAUGUAAGUCAGCGGUGAAAUACCUAAGCUCAACUUAGGGGCUGCCGUUGAUACUGCAUAGCUGGAAUAUGGUUGCUGUUGGCGGAAUGUGUAGUGUAGCGGUGAAAUGCAUAGAUAUCACGAAGAACUCCAAUUGCGAAGGCAGCUUGCUGGACUGUAACUGACGCUGAUGCUCGAAAGUGUGGGUAUCAAACA
rnacentral:rRNA from 1 species